rnacentral:lncRNA from 1 species
GAUAGCAAGAAUAUUCCACGACCAAACGAAUAUUCCCCGACAACAAUGAAUAUUUUAUAACCACCUGCUUAUUUAAAAUAUUUGUGCAUUUUACCCAUAACUAACCACAUUAAUCAAAUCAACCCUUACUAUUUCAAAAUGAUAAAUAGAGAAAAUUAAAUCUUUAUUUAUAAAAAGUCUUACAGAUAUGGCGCGUACACCACACGGCGAUCGUGGUGGGCGUGCUGCUAGUUCAGGCC